AACGCAAAUUGCACUCUCUGGUAUUCCGGAGAGUAUGCCUGUUUGAGGGUCAGUUAAAUAAAAAUCGGCGUUGUUGCUGCCUUGCGUGGUGACGCAUCGGAUUUGGGUCGUCUUACCUUCGGUUAAGUGACCUAAAAUUUUGCAUGAUUUUUCGAACGUAUUUAAAUUAUUUACGUACGUUUGCGAUAUCGAAUAAUUAGGAGUGGUCAUUCUCAUGAUUCGCGCCUAUAAUUUUUCAUCAAAAUGACCUCAAAUCAGGUAAGAGUACCCGCUGAACUUAA
rnacentral:misc_RNA from 1 species